rnacentral:tRNA from 1 species
GGGCUUAUAGUAUAAUGGCAGUACGCGGCAUUCGCAUUGCCGAAGUCCGGGUUCGACUCCCGGUGAGUCCACCA